rnacentral:rRNA from 1 species
GAUGAACGCUGUCUACAGGCUUAACACAUGCAAGUCGAGGGGAAACGACGGGGAAGCUUGCUUCCCCGGGCGUCGACCGGCGCACGGGUGAGUAACGCGUAUCCAACCUGCCUCUGACUGAGGGAUAACCCGUCGAAAGUCGGCCUAAUACCUCAUGGCAUCGUCUGCGGGCAUCCAACGACGAUUAAAGAUUUCAUCGGUCAGGGAUGGGGAUGCGUCUGAUUAGCUUGUUGGCGGGGUAACGGCCCACCAAGGCUACGAUCAGUAGGGGUUCUGAGAGGAAGGUCCCCCACAUUGGAACUGAGACACGGUCCAAACUCCUACGGGAGGCAGCAGUGAGGAAUAUUAGUCAAUGGGCGGGAGCCUGAACCAGCCAAGUAGCGUGCAGGAUGACGGCCCUAUGGGUUGUAAACUGCUUUUAUGCGGGGAUAAAGUGAGGGACGUGUCCUUCAUUGCAGGUACCGAAUGAAUAAGGACCGGCUAAUUCCGUG